rnacentral:lncRNA from 1 species
GGCCGUUCCCUCAGCAUAUGGAGGUUCCCAGGCUAGGGGUCUAAUCGGAGCUGUAGCUGCCAGCCUACACCAGCGCCACAGCAACAUGGGAUCCGAGCCGUGUCUGUGACCUACACCACAGCUCAUGGCAAUGCCAGAUCCUUAACCCACUGAGCAAGACCGGGGAUGGAACCUGCAACCUCAUGGUUCCUAGUCAGAUUCGUUAACCACUGCACCACGACUGGAACUCCAAUAUCCUAGAUUUUUAGGAACACUUUCAAGGAAUUGCUGAGGUUCAGAAUAAGACUGUACAACGCGUAAGAGUGUUUUCUAUAAUGGAUUUCCAAAUAGUUAAAUUAAGAAUCAUUUACUCUCAAUUUCUCCAGCUUCACUUGUCUUCCGGCAAAAAUUAAAGCUGUGCAACCUGUACAUAACAGCAGUUUCUAACAAUGCCAAAUCAACAGCAAUUUCUAGAUCAUUUUCAUUCCCUUCUCCAUGAAAAUGCCCAACAAACUGUUAGGUUACUAAAGAAAACUGAUCAGGUAAUAUUACUCUUUGCUUUCACGUAAUCAUUCUAAGUACAUCUAAAAUCAGACAUUGACAUGAAAAUAUGAGGGGAAGAAAAACUUCAAGCCAGAGAAUUGAGUUUUACUUUUACUGACAUUUAUAUAUCACACUUCCUGUUUAUGAUUUCAGAAGUGCAGCCAUGCAGUGCUUCUGUUAAAACUAAGUAAUUGGGAACAGUUUUGAGGAUUACAUGGCAGCUUACUCAAAGGGAAAAAAAAAAUUGAGCUGCUUAUGGAAUUGCUAUCUUUGUUGUGUACAAAGUUGAAUCUUUGUCAAAUGUCAUUUACUAAUAGUGUAAUUAAAAGGGAACUUGAUGGCUUUGUGCCUUUAAAACAAACAGCCCGAUCAUAGUUCUAAAUUUGACCAGUUGAUGGGAUAAGAAAACCAAGCCAACCCCUUUCUACUAUAUAUAUAAAGGUAAUUCUUGCAAACAUUUUUUUUUUCCCUUCAUGUAGAGAUUUCAGUUAACUUUUGUUGUGCCUUGACAAUUCUGCCCAAAGGAGGGAAAGGGUAGACAUAAAUACAGUUCUUAAAAGGCCUUUUCUUCCACUAUUGUUCUUAUUUGAAGCACAAUUAUGAGUUAAUUUUUGGUGACCAGAAUUUGUGUGUGUUUGUAUGUGCACAUGCAUGUAUAUGUAGAGAGAGAGAGAGAGAGAGCACCCAAGUGAGCAGUGGCUGCUAGCCAGACAUCAAAAUCCAUAUUCUUAUUUAUUUCUUUUUUGCUUUUUAGGGCUGCACCUGCAGCAUACGGAAGUUCCCAGGCUAGGGGUCUAAUCCGAGCUGCAGCUGCCAACCUGUGCCACAGCCACAGCAACACCAACACCGAGUCGAGCCACGUUUGUGACCCACACUGCAGCUCAUGGCAACACCAGAUCCUUAACCCACUGAGUGGGGCCAGGGACCAAUCCCACAUCCACAUGGAUACUAGUCAGGUUGGUUUCCACUGAGUACAAUGGGAACUCCCCAUGUUCUUAUUUCUUCUUGGCCAAACAGAUAAGCUUAUUCCCAGCCUCCUUUGUAGUUAGCUGUGGUCAUGUGACUAAAUUACAGCCAAUGGAAUGAGAAUAGAAGUUACAUGUACUACUUUGAGUUCUCUCCCCUAAAAACUCCGCUUCCUACAGACUGAAAUAGAAAAGACCCCCAGGGAGACCUUGGAACUUUGGUACUGAAAGCCUAGGUACAGAAAGACCUUGAAAACUAAGCAUUGAAAUGCCUGUUUAUUUUAGCAAGAAACAGACUUGAGCUGUUAUACAUUUUGGGGUUGAUCUGUUAUGGCAAUUAGUCUCCCCUAAUUAACUCAAUAUACAAAACUUGUAUUCAAAGAGGCUGUAUGAUGUACAACUCCCAUGGGCAUCAUUUACAUUGGAAUAUAUGUGAAUGGCAUUUCCUGAAGCACAAUUAAGAAGCCUCAGUUAUGCAUGCACAUGGAGAUAUAUUAAUGUUCCCCCCAGGAGUGGUACGGUAUUGUAGCUCUGCCAAACCAACACCAACUUCUCUCUUGCAUUUUAUUGCACAAGAGCAUCAAUUUGUGUAAAGUCACUUCCCUUUUGUGUCUGUGGUAAUAGAUUAAGGUGGAAUGGAUCAUCCAACAAUAUCUUAAGAGAAAAUGUAUACUUAGGAUCCAAACCAGAUCUCUUAGAUUUAUUCAACUGUAUUAGCUUAUAAUUUGUUACCCUCUGCCAUGCAUUAGGCCAACAGACAAUGUCAGGAGUCUCCUUCCCCUCUGCCCUCCAAGCUUGCUGCUGUGAAUGAUAAAAACUUUGGCCUUCAUUUUCCUUAUCUCUAAAAUGAGAGCUAGAUUAUAUGACCCCAAAGAGCCCUUCACUAAAAUUCUACUAUCUGUGACUACAAUGUCCAUAGCUAUUGGUAGAACUAAUUAUUACUGUGACUCUUCCUUCAGAUUCCAAAUUGAUACUCUACAGGUGCUUAAAAGUAAGUUAAAGUUAUAAAGAAAAUGUUCAACUUGCACCAAUUCACAGAGAGGCACAACAGAGAUUUUGCUUUUCUCUUAAAUAAAAACUAUUAAAUUGAAAAGAUUUUUUUAACUCAUUCAAGAUAUUUUUAGAGUAAUUAUAAAUCAGUGUGUCACCUCUUUGAAUUUUUUACUCAAUGGAUGAAGUAGCAAAGCCAAUGCAGAAUGUGACAUUUAUUGAAAUAAUAUGCCAUAUUACAAAACGUAAACUAAAUAGCAGAUUGUGUAUUUACUGUUACUGAAGUUAGCAGUUAAAACCUUAAGUUUUACUUCUCCUAAUUGUACACUUAUGUUCUAAUGUUUCAAUGAAAUAACAAUAUUAGAACAAGUUCAAGAUCAUGGCAGAAUCACCAAUCAUAGUUACUUUUGUCAUAGUUAACUAAAUCAUCUGUAUCUUUGUAUAUUAUGACAGAACUAAAUCACAUUUUUGUUAUAGCGGACAGAAAUGAAUCUUUACCUAUUUGUCUGCUGGUAGGCAUUUAAUCUCAUGGAUUUCAGAUUCGGUUAAAGCUAAAAAUGUACAUUAUCCAGACUUGAUAAAGGCAUGGAAUUGGCUUUGAUUCGCAUUCUUCAGGAGAGCUGCAAAAAAUAUGGACCUUACUCAGGGGUGACACUUUUUUAGAAAAGAGGAAGAGCAGGCUGUAUAUAUCAUUGUCCAAAGUGGAGUCUUUAUAUUAAGAGAAAGCCAUGUAUGGGCUGGAGUAGAUAAGAAGAAGGAAUCCCAGUAAAUUUUUUCCCCCCACAAAAGGAACGAGGCAGAGAGAGAGAGCCUGCAGUAGUAUUUUGAAUACCAGUAGACAAGCAUAGAUUCUAAAUAUCCUUAGAUAAUUGCAUAAACAGGGAAAUAAUUUUUAAAAUGAAGGUACAGUUACAAAUUUAUUGUGGUAUAUCCAUAUGUUGGAAUGCCAUGCAGAUAUUAAAAAUGUUUUCAAAAAUAUUCAGUAACAUGAGAAAAUGGUCAUUAUAAACUGCAGAUCCUUUAUUUCUGUCCAAAAUGAAUCAAUCUUAUUCUUUCUGACCUCUGUAUUUUUCCUCAUUGCUAUGUCCUCCCCACCCCCAGUAUAAAUAGCAGCAUAAUGGAAAUAAUAUUUUAAGGAGAGAUGCAUAUACACUGAAUUUUUAAGCUUGAAGGCAUUUUAGAGAUCAUUUAGUCAAAAUUCAUCAUUUUGCAAAGGAAACUGACCCUGGAAAAUUAAAUGUCUCCCUUAAGGCCUUGAUCCCAGCAUUGCUAACUUGCUAAAACCUGGGUUUCCUUGCUCUCCAAAUUUGGCACAUUUUACCUUCAGUUAUAACUGGCUACAUCAGAGGUUGGUUCAUACCAGACUAGAGACUGAAGGUUGGGCUAAAGAGAAUGAACUUUAUCCUAGUCUGUCUUUUUUUGGGGGAGAGGGUGGGUACAAGGCACAAGGGAAUGAUAAUGAUCAGAGUUGUAAAAUAUCUCUAGAGAUCGUCUGUUUCUUAAUCCUAAAUCUUUUAACUUUUUUCUUACUCAGUACCACUUUAAAAAUUCUUGGGGGAGAACUCAAAUCACUUCUUUGACUCAUAUAAAUAAUACUGAGAAAUGGAAGUAACUGGAUUACAACUUCUAACCAUUUUACUUAUUUGUUCACUUGCUUUUGUCUUUCUUUUCCACUAGAAUGUAUUUUCCAGGAGAGAUGGCCUAUAUCUUUUUGUUAACUCCAGCUCCUGCCAAGUGUUUGACACAUAAAAGAUGUUCAGUGAAUGUUGGUGAGUGAAUUAAUAAAUGAUAGCUACUGAAAAGCAAUAAUUAAUUUACUUUGAUUCAGUUUCUCCUGGAGGUUUUCCCAAGUUUUGUGAUCCCAUUACCAUUCUAAAUUUUAGAAUGGGGUGAACCUGCCCUAUUCUGCAUAUGCUAUACAUUUCAGGGUAGCACAACCGAACUGUUUUAUAAUAUUAAUUUUGGCACUCUUAGACUCUUGUGCCAAAUUUGCUAAAUUUGGGAAUGACCUUGAUCUGUAAUUAGAUUUUUAUCCACAGGUGAAUU